GGUCUUUUAGUAUAACGGUAGUACAGCUGCCCUUCACGUAGCUAGUGUCAGUUCGAAUCUGGUAAAGACUA
rnacentral:tRNA from 1 species